rnacentral:rRNA from 1 species
AGAGUUUGAUCCUGGCUCAGAACGAUCGUUGGCGGCGUGGAUUAGGCAUGCAAGUCGAACGAAUCCCAGAGGGCUUGCUUUCUGGGGGAAGUGGCGAAAGGGGCAGUAAUGCGUGGGUAACCUACCCCGGGGAUCGGGAUAGCCCUCCUAACGGAGGGGUAAUACCGGGCGAUGCGGCGAGGGGGCAUCUUCUUGCCGUGAAAUGAGUUUCGCCUCGGGAGGGGCUCACGUGCUAUUACCUAGUUGGCGGGGUGACGGCCCACCAAGGGGAAGAUGGCUAGCAGGCGUGAGAGCGUGCCCUGCGCCACUGGCACUGCGACACUGGCCAGACUCCUACGGGAGGCUGCAGUCGAGGAUCUUCGGCAAUGGGCGCAAGCCUGACCGAGCGACGCCGCGUGUGCGAUGAAGGCCUUCGGGUUGUAAAGCACUGUCGAGGGGGAGGAAGCCGCAAGGUUGACCUAUCCCUGGAGGAAGCACGGGCUAAGUUCGUGCCAGCCGCCGCGGUAAUAC